rnacentral:lncRNA from 1 species
AAUAUAUAUUAUAUUUGUAUAACAUGGAGAUGUAUAUAUAUAUAUAUAUUUUUUUUUUUUUAGUGCAAACUUUUGUGAGAAGAGACAAUGCCCAAAUGAAAGAAGAGUGAUGUCAUGUUCAAGGCCUCUGGUUGUCAGACAGGGACAUCCAUACCAGUGAGGAUCAUCAAUAUGAAAGGCGUCAUCAGUCUUAACCAGUUGCUAUUACCCCUGUAUGCACACAAGUUGAACCUAAUGGCAUUAAAAGAAAAGGUAAGAAAAACAGAUAGUAUAUAGCUGGGGAGGGAAGGUAGUUUCCACUUGCUAAAUUUUAAAAACUCAUAUGAGAUUGAAGUUAUUGUAUCUCUUUGAUCCUAAGAUUAAACCCUGCCAUGUGUAGCUUUGCAGAGAGCCUGGGUCUUUCUGGGAACUCUACUACCUGGAAGUGAUUGGCUGAGCUCUGAAAUUCACAAGAGUACCAUUGUCGGGGAGAAGAGGUUUUCAUAGACACUUUUAGGGUCUCAAACUGGGUCUGAAAAUCAAACUGAUAAAAACAGGUUAACAGGAGAAGAACAUACAAAUUUAUUUAAUAAGUCUUAGAUGACACAGGAGAUUUCAUAAAUGAAGACCUAAGGAAACAGUUAAACUAUAUUUUUUAUGCUAAGUUUGAUGAAAAAGUGAAUAGUCAUGGGAAGUAUAAUUGGAUAAAAAUGUACAAUUGAAUGGUAAUAAACUGGAGAGAACUUAGCAGGGUCUUUUUGUUCAGCUUCUUCUCUGUGUCCUUGUGUCUUCAGAGACAAGGAUAUUCCUUUUCUCUGGGUAUAGAGAGAGCACCUUUCACAUGAAGGUUUUAUGACCUACUUCAGGGAAAGGUCAGAAAAUUAUUCUGAGCUUGUAUGACCUACGUUAGGGGAGAAGGGCAGAGGAAAGGUCAAAAGGAUCUUUCUGUUUUGGCUGCUUCUCCAAAUGCCAAGGUGUCGAGAUUUUGGAGUAGUAUGUCAUGAAUCUCAUCGCCCUUCUAGUCAUUUCACUGUUCUUCCUGCUUCACAACUUACUGUUGAAAACAAUAUCAAAGGCACACUUCUUGCUGCAAAUACAUUCUGUUUAAAAAUAUUCUGAGCAAAAUAUUCUUAAGAAAAUGGUGUUUGUUUCUGGCCAUAAUAUAUCUUUCUUAAUAUUGAUCUAGUAAAAGGCCCCAAAUUGAGAAAUUAGUGGUGCACCGUGGUUCAAACACUAGGCAACAGAUUCAAAUUUUAAUAGAAAGUUUCAACAUAACAAUAAAAUGUUCUUUUCUUAUCUCUGCAUUAAAUAUCAUUUAUAUCUUCAUCACAGGAUUAAAAUUGAAUGAUGCUGGAAAUAGGAUGGUUUACAUAUCCAGACAGUAACCGCAAAGAGCUAAGAGAACUAGAAUAAAACAACACAGUUGUAUACUGUGUACACAAUGCACAGCCUUGCUUUGCUUCCCUCUUCUCCUGCCCUCAUCUUUUCUCGCCUCUUUUCAAAUUCCUAUGCAUCUCUUAGAAAUAUUUCCUACAUUAUGAAAAUAAGCCUUUUCUUUUCUCUAAAAUCUUGGCAGUAGCUGAAACCCAGAUCCUGGUGACUUAACAUCUAUCUUAUCUAAAGUUGACUAAGCAAGACGUAUUUCACUACAAAAUGGGAUGCCUCCUAACAAAAAUAUAUGUGAUAACUACUAGGGAAAAUUUUAAAGUCUGAAUCCUAUUAUUAAUUAUGUGUUAUGGUUGUGAUAUCACAGAUGGAGUAGAAUAUCUAUUUGGGUUAAAAGAGAGGAUAUGGUCAGCUACAUCUGGAAAGGUUUAUGAAGUCCCUACAAAGCAUGUGGCAUUUCAUUCAAGGCAGAAAGAACAUGGGCCAAUGAGUGAGUUAUAGACAGAACGUCUGUAUCCUCCAAAAUUCAGCCCUAACUCCUAAUAUUAUGGUAUGUUGAGGUGGAGCAUUUGGGAGGCAAUUAGGUUUAGAUGAGUUCAUGAAGGUGAGGCCUCCAUGUUAAGAUUAGUGUUUUUAUAAGAAUAGGAAGAGAUAAGAGCUCUCUCUUUCUCCACCAUUGGAGAACACAGUGAGUAGGUGGCUUUCUGAAAGCCAGGAAGAAGGUCUUCAAAAGGAAUCGAAUGUGCUGGCACCUUGGUUUUGAGCUUCCUAGCCCCUAGAACUGUGAGAAAUGUCUAUUGUUUAGGCUACACAGUCUAUGGUACCUUGUUAUGGAACAGCCCAAGCUGACAAAUACAGGGUAGAAGCAGUGAAAAAAAAUACUAUGUUCUGGGAACUGAAAGCUUAACUGGAGCAGACAUUUGUGAUAUGGCAGUAGUGGAAGCUUGGGCUAAAGAGAAAACCAAAAUUGUAAUCUUCGGUUCAGAACAGUCUUGAAUUUGACAGAAAUUUUGAUGAAUUCAUUUUCUGUUGCCACUAUAACAAAUCACCGUAAACUUAAUGGUUUUAAAUUACAGAAUUUUCUCUUGCAAUUUUGUAGGCCAGAAAUCUGACAUGUUUCACAAGCCUAUAAUCAAGGUGUUGGCAAGGCUAUAUGUUUUUCUGGAGGGCCUCAGGGAAGAUUUAAUUCUGAUUAUUCGGUUACUGACCAUCAGCUGAGGGUCUUUCCAGUUUCUAGAGACCAUCUGGGAUUCAUGUCCCCCUCCUGUAUCUUCAUAGCCAGCAAUAACAGGUCUAGUUCUACUAUUGCAUCUAUCUAAAGGUUUGUUUGUUAGAUUAGACCCACCUAGAUGAUCUAGGAUAUAUGACCUAUCUCCAAGUCCUCGACCUUAAUCACACCAGCAAAGUUUGUUUGUUUGUUUGUUUUUUGUUUUUUGCCAUAUAAGGUGAUAUAUUCAUAGGUUCCAUGAGUAGGGCAUGGACAUCUUUAGACUACCAUUCUGCCUGCCAAAGCUGGUAAAUGAAGAAUUUCUAGUGAUGUGAUAUCAGAUAAAUUAGCUAAUAUUCUAUACAAUUUAACUAGAAAUGUGGUAGUCUAUUAAUAUUUGAGCCUAUUUUGUUCAUUGUGCACAUAAAGAGUGAAGGCUAUGAGACUCUCCAAAAGUGUAUGGAUCUUUUUAUUUCUCUUCUCAUGUUCUUCUCUUACAUUCUCUUUUCCUUAGAACAAACUUAACAUUUGGUAGUGAAUAAGAAAAUGAUCCACUCUUAGCACAUAAAGAUUUAGAAUAUGGAUUUUGAGAGAACUAAAUAUCCAAUAGGAAGUCAUUUAUGUUUCCUUUUAACCACAAUUAAAGACAUGGUAAGUGAAAUGUUUUCCUCCUAGAAACCAAAAUUUAGAAUUGGAGCUCUGUUCAUAAAAAUACAUUUUUCUACCAUGAAAACACCAGAAUUGAUAAAAAUGUUUAAAAUAAAACAUCUUUAAGAAAACACUUUUUAAUUAUGUAAAAACUGGACAGUACAGAAAGCUAUAGGGUAAAUUUUAUUCUGAAGACAUUUUAUGCAUUUGGGGGACUAUUUAUGAUUCCUUAAUAUAUAUACCUGUUGAAGUUCUUAUGAAAGUUUCCCUCCAGUUUUUUCUAAGAAAGUUUCCCUGUUAGUAAGCUAAGGAAAUUUAUUGUCCCGCAUUUCUCUGAGGACUGUCAGAUUUCUUAAAAAUUAAAAUCACUGCUUUUCAAACUUUUCAUGAUUUGUUCAGUGUAUAUAAAUGCUUCCAUAAAGUCUUCAGAUAUUAUACC